rnacentral:tRNA from 1 species
GGGGGUGUAGCUCAGUGGUAGAGCUGCUUGUCUUGCAUGCGUGUGGCUCUGGGUUUGAUCCCCAGCAUUGUCU